CCUACGGGAGGCAGCAGUGAGGAAUAUUGGUCAAUGGUCGGGAGACUGAACCAGCCAAGCCGCGUGAGGGAGGAAGGUACAGAGUAUCGUAAACCUCUUUUGUCAGGGAACAAAGACUGGGACGCGUCCCCGGAUGAGUGUACCUGAAGAAACAGCAUCGGCUAACUCCGUGCCAGCAGCCGCGGUAAUACGGAGGAUGCGAGCGUUAUCCGGUUUUAUUGGGUUUAAAGGGUGCGCAGGCGGUCUGUUAAGUCAGCGUUCAAAGCCCGGGGCUCAACCCCGGCCCGCCGUUGAAACUGGCAGUCUCGAGUUGGAGAGAAGUAUGCGGAAUGCGCGGUGUAGCGGGGAAAUGCAUAGAUAUCGCGCAGAACUCCGAUUGCGAAGGCAGCAUGCCGGCUCCACACUGACGCUGAGGCACGAAAGCGUGGGUAUCGAACAGGAUUAGAUACCCCUGUAGUC
rnacentral:rRNA from 1 species